CUUACCACAUGAGAAGCGCACCAAUAUCAUUAAUUAUCACUUUGUUCAACUCCAUUCGCUUUGUAUAUAUGUCGAGUGGACGGACUGAGAUCAUGUUUAAGAACUAUGCUUCCAUGCCCAUUUUUUUUUGUGUGCCAUAGGACCAUUCUUUAGGAUUAUAAUCUAUAUAAUCCAUGAUUGUAAACCUAAAUUUUUACAUUUCUAUGAAAUAUUUAUGUUCUUAGCAAACAAAAAAAAAGUACCAAUUUACAUAUGAACUGUAAAAAGAAAUUCUCCCUCAUUUAAAUUAAAGUAAUGCAAAGAUAAAAUUUGUUUACGGCAGUAGGAUAAGGAUUAACUUCGUCUAUUAUCAACGUCAAGAAAUAAUUAAUAAUUAAUCCGUCGUCAAACCAAAACCUAAUCCCACUAGGAAACAAAAAAAAACAAACGAACAAAAGACUAUAAAUUCGCCUUCUUUUCAUAUUUGGAUAUAUUCUCUCUUAUACGCUCUUUAAAUACAUAUAUUUGAAAACGAUUGAUCAUAUCUUUGCCUUCUUGUUAUAAUCUUGUUUGAGUCUCUCUCAAGGGUGAAACAGAAUGUGGAAAGAAGAUAAAUCAUGCGUAGAAGCAAAUUCUACAAGAAGGAGCAAGUUUGAAGAUCGUCUGCCAUCUACUUAUUCCAUGAAGAUCCAAAGCCUCUCUCAGCUCAAUACAAAUCCCGUUAUUUCUCUUCCGGCAAAUACAACUGGAGAUUGGUUAUAUAUCCAAAGGGUAACAAAAAAGACAAGGGAAGUGGAUUUCUUUCAAUGUAUGUUGAAUUAGAUAGCAAAAGCCUCGUCGCAUCCACGGUUUUGGCAUAUAUAUCUCACCUUUUUCGUUUACAACAAGAAAGAAAAUAAUUUCUUUACUAUUCAAGAUGUUGAAGGGAACCAGUUCAAUGCAUUAAGACCGGUAUGGGGAUUUUCGCAAGUGAUUCCGCUUGAUACAUUCAAUGAUCCGGAAAACGGAUAUGUCUUCGAUGGAGAUCAAUGCGAGUUUGGUGUUGAUAGAAUUCAUGAACAAAGAAACUUGUGAAAUGAUUUUCUAUCUUUCUCA